rnacentral:rRNA from 1 species
UACAGAGGGGGCAAGCGUUAUUCGGAAUUAUUGGGCGUAAAGGGCGCGUAGGCGGCCAUUCAAGUGACGGGUGAAAGCCCUCGGCUUAACCGAGGAACUGCCUGUCAGACUGGAUGGCUUGAGACCGGGAGAGGUGAGUGGAAUUCCCAGUGUAGCGGUGAAAUGCGUAGAUAUUGGGAGGAACACCAGUGGCGAAGGCGGCUCACUGGACCGGAACUGACGCUGAGGCGCGAAAGCUAGGGGAGCGAACAGG